AAAAAUGAAAUCAGAAGCAAGAAUCUUCAAAGGUGAAUCAACAGAUGUCUACAGGAUCAAAUCAUACACCGCCCAAGAACUGGAUUUGAACAAGGCGUACUAUGAUGAAGAGGAGCUUCAUCCCAAGAAGAAGAUGGAACCUAAUGUGAUGGAUCUGCUUAAAAUUUAUUUGCCUAAGUAUUUUUAACAUUUUGUUUUUCUGAUUUUAAUUUCUUUUAAGUUUGCUUUCUUUCUCUCUAUAACUAAAUAAUUUUUCUUGUUUUGAUUUAAGUCUCUAAGACCUUUGAUGUUGUUUGUUUUCAUGACGCUAUAAGAAAGACUAUGUAACAUGGAAGAAAGAUGAUAAAUAAAAGAGCUUAAGUUGCUAAAUAAUUGAUUACAUCACGAACUAAAAGACG
rnacentral:lncRNA from 1 species